GGUAGCGUGGCCGAGCGGUCUAAGGCUCUGGUUUUAGGCACCAGUCAUUUCGAUGGCGUGGGUUCGAAUCCCACCGCUGCCA
rnacentral:tRNA from 1 species